ensembl:miRNA
AGGUUGAUGCAAAAGUAAUUGUGGUUUUUGCAUUUUUUAAUGACAAAAGCUACAAUUACUUUUGCACCAAUCUAA